ensembl:lncRNA
UAUAUCUUAUCUGAUUUUCAAUAUAACACUAGGGAGUUGGUGCUAAUAUUACCCCCAUCUUUGAGAAGAGGGAUGGUCCAAAGCUUUUAAGUGUCUGAGUGAGGAUUCCAAGUCUGGUCUUCUUGACUAUAAGGCCAGCUUUGAAUCUACCAUCUUCCCUAGCUGCCUAAUGAACUUCCCCCUCAGACCUCACAUAACAUUUUAUUUUGUGUCUCUCUAAUGUGUUCAUCAUUCACUGCUGUGAUUUAUAUAUUUGUGUCAUCCCCCACCACUCUAUCAGUAGCUUUAGGAAGGUGGAGAUGGUAUUUUAACUAAGCUUUGUUAUCUUCUCCAGUGACCAAUGAAGUACUCUAAAUACAGCGAGGGCUUAACAUAUGCUCCUUGUUUUCAACCAGGGAAGAAAACAAGAAGCUGACAUUUCUAUAGAGCAAUCAAAGAAUUCUAUCCUGCAGUAGUCUCCCUUCUUUCCACUCAGAGCACCUCCUGACCAAGGCUCAACAAUGAUUUUGUUUGAGAGAUAGGCCUUAAGAAAUCCACUUCCUACCUGGGGAAUGAUAAGGCACUUUCAGGAGAGGUCACAAAGGCAGGAACUGAGGUAAGGUUUAAAUCUAUCAGUCCCUGAUUUGUCUAGCCCUGACUACUCGUAACCUCUCCUCUGUGUCCCUAGGUCUCAGGUGAAAGUGGCCUAGGGCUCCACUUCUUGGUAAAGGUCAGAGAGAUUCCACAGACGGCUCCUGUAUCCAGUCCCCCUGCCAACCAGGUGUCUGGAACAUGUCACCUCCCCCUGGGCCAGGCUGGUCUCAGAUUUGGCCACAUAUUUGGAGAGAGACAGAGAGAAAGAGAGGGAGAGGGAGAGGGAGAGAAAGAGGAAGAAGAAAGGAAGAGGAGACAGAGAGAUAGAUCUUCAGGAAGACAGCUGGAAGAGCAGAAAACCCUCAACUCUGGUUGAGACAAGAAUGCGUUUUCAUUCCCAGAUUCUUAACACAAUCACAACCUCAGGCCAAGCUCAAGAGUAAGAAUAAUGAAGACCAAAAAAGAUUAAGAACAAAAAUUUACCUCCUGUUUGACCUGUGUGGAGGAAUUGGGCACAGCCAUCCAUGAAUAUCUUGGGUCACAGAAACAAGAAGAGAAAUCUUUGGAUACAGCCUCCUAGUUCCCCCAAACUCCUGUCUCUUGCAGCUGUACCUGGACUUUUUCUACUAUGACUUAGCAGGAGAAAUCUUUAGCGGUGGCAGGUCUGACAUCAAAUGACUGUCCAGAGGGAGCAGACUAAGUACCUUCCCCUUCACUGUGAGGUUUUUCAAUUAAUAUUCUCUCCUCCAUUGUAGAUAUACUACUUUGGGUUUGAAUCAGUCCUUGGCCUGCUACCUGUAGGGACUUGGAAAAGUCACUUAACCUUCAGGGGACUCAGUUUCCCCUCUAUAGAUAGCUUCUAAGGUCCUUUCUAGUUCUAAAUCUAUGAUUGGUGAAACGGCCCUCAGAAGUCAUGUAGUUGUUGUUUUUUCUUAAUUUUUGCAAAUACAUUAUUUAUUUUUAACAUUCUUUUUUUUUAAAUUUGGAGUUCCAAAUUCUCUCCUUCCCUCCAGCCCCGUCCCCACCCAUUGAGAAGGCAAGCAAUAUAUCAACUGUACAUAUGAAAUCAUGUAAAACAUACUUCCAUAUUGUCCAUGUUGAAAAAAAAAAGCAAGAAAAAUAAAGUGAGAAAAAACAUAGUUCA